rnacentral:lncRNA from 1 species
GUUUUUUUUUCUUCUAUGUACAAUGUCCUAAAGUUCUAGUGAAAAUAAAAAGAAUAUUUUUUUUAUAUAUUUUCCAAUGAAGAACCUCAAAAGAAUUUUUAUUUUGGAUUUUUGGAAUUAAUAUCUUAAAGUAAACUUCUAAAGAGGUAUUAAAAGAAAAUUCUCUUUUGUUUUGAAUUUUUAGUCUUAAUAUACUAAAGAAAAUAUAAAAGCAAUUUUUAUUUUUAGUUCUAGAUAUUAAUUUCCUAAGCAAAACCACCUCAAAGGAAUUUGUUUUAAUUACUAGAAUUAGUAUUCUUAAGAAAACUUCUAACAAAAAUAUAAAAACGCAAUUUUUUUUUUGGAUUUUUGAUUUAUAACACAUUUUUCAAAUACAAAAUAGGAAGUACAAUAACAAAAGACUCGACAAACUUAACUAGACUAUGAUAGAUUCUAACAUCACCUAAAAGACUCGACAUUACUGUACAAAACUAGAAGGUAAAAGAUGACAUAAAAAGAAAAACAGGCCAAAACAUAAAAAAAAUCUUCUUAAGCAACUCCUAAAUGAGCGAUCCUGACUAGAUGGUCCCGGGGUGUCUGUCGUUCUCAAACUCCGGUAAGUAGAUCCACACCUGUAUGAGAAAACUAAAACCACAUAGAGUUAAAGAUUUAGAACAUUAUGUGAGACAACAACACUCCCUACUGGACACAUGCAAGACAUGAUCGAGGCGAUUUUUGCAAAAUAGCCUACGUGGCCAAAAGUUGCUAGACAUGCAAAUUCGACAAGGACGGACCUUAAAGUAAAGAGACACCUAAUUGUGGAUUGAAGACUCUCCGGACACAAUUAAAUAAGCCACUUUGCGAAAAUAGCCCUAUUUUGCAAAACGGCCGCCAAAAGUGGCUAGAGAGGCAAGAUUUGGCUACGAUCCUCGAAGCCAAGAACUUAAGACUCACUAAGGACCGAACCUUAUGUGGGCUGCCUACGUAUCACGCCCCGAAAGACGAUAAUCUGGUAUGCGUAGUUCGGAAAAAUCGGAUACGGGCGAGAAUUAAAAAAAACUAAUUUAGAGAAAAUAUAUUUUUGUCUAUUUUUUUUGAAAAAAUGAUGAAACAUGUAAACUCUUUUUGGAUUUUUUUUUUUGGAAAAUGAUGGGAAAGUGCAAAAUCUUUUUGGAUUUUUUAUUAUUUUGUCUUUUUCUUAACAAAAAUGUGAAAGAAAAAUAUAACUGGCCCUACUUGCUUCAUUUUUACACUUGACCCUCUUUUCUUUCUCAUUUACCCUCAGCCAUUAUUGGUCCGCCAAAUGACCCCUUCUACCCUUGAAGAUUGCGACAUGUAGCACAUAAGAUGCAUCAGGAUAGCCUUUUAAUUUUGGAAAACGGCUGCUGGUUUCGUUGAAGUGAGCAGGGGUCGAUGUUGAUGGAGCUUCAGGUCUGUCGUUGGUUUUGGAUGGAGAAGAAGAGGCUUAUGGUGUUUUUAGGUUGUGCCAAAAAUGAAGAAAAACGGCUGAAGCUUAGAGAAGAAAAUAGGUUUAGGGUUGUUUUAAGUGUCUUUCUAGGGUUUUAGGGGUAUUGGGCUUAGGAAUUAUGGGCUAGGUCCGAAAAUUAGGCCUAAAAAGGGGUUGUUUGAGCCCAAAUUUUAUUCUUUCUCAUUGAACAAGACUAAAAAUACUAUCUCAUUUACUAAUUAAUACUACUUAAGUAAAAUAACUAUUAAAAUAAAACUAACCGUUAGAACAAACCUAUUUUUUGGUAUUUUUCAAAUAUCAUACUAAAAGAUAAAAAUGAAAUUAUCAUUGCAAAGUUAAAAUAAUAUUCGUAAAAACAAAGUGAAACUAUUUUUGUAUUUUUAAAUUCUAUGUAAGGUAGAUACAUUAAAAGUAACUAGAUACGAUAUUAAUUAGCUAAAUAAAAGAAAAUAUUUUUGUAAUUUUUCAUUUUUAUGAUAAAAUAAAGUAAAAGAGUCAAAACUAUUUAGAAUAGCGAUACUAAACCAAAACUAAAUAUUUACGCUAAAGUGUGUAAAAUCUUGGGGUGUGUCAAAAAUUACAUGUCUACAUAUAGUACUUAUCAAGAAUCACAACGAUUACAAUUUAAGACUCACGGGCAUGCAUGACACCAACGUAUAGAUACUCGUCACCACACCUAUACGUCGUACACUACACCAGCACAUAUCAAAUAAGGCACAACACCUAUUCCUUCAAGCUAGGGGUGGGCGUUCGGUAUUUCGGUUCGGUAUGUAAGAAUUUCGGUUCGGUAUUUCGGUAUUCGGUUUAUCAAUUGUGUAUACCAAAUACCAUAACAAAAUAUUUCGGUACGGUUCGGUAUUUAUUAUUUUGGUUUGGUACGGUUUCGGUUUAACAAUCAAUGAAUAAUCAAUGCUAAAUUGCUAAAUGCUAACGCCUAACCUAACAGUGCACAAUUGCACAUGCACAAUUGGAAGAGGAAUCACAACUGCAGUGUUUGCACAAUCUAAAUUCUAAAGUGGUUGCACAACGGCAGUGUUUGCACGAUCUAAAGUGUUUGCACAACUACAAGAAUCAAUGAAUAAUCAAAUAAUCAAUGCUAACAAUCAAUGAAUAAUCAAUGCUAAAGUGUUUGCACAACUGCACAAUGUGCACAUGGCUCAUGGCUGAAAGCCUGAAACAAGAAUAACAUAUUAUUCUGCUCUAGACAACUUCACAAUCUGGCAAUCUGCAGUUGCAAACUUGCACGCCAGAUCUGGCAAUCAACUUAACACUUAACACUUAAACACAGUGCAAUAAAAACACAGUCCAACAAAAACAGUCUUAACACUUAAAUACAUGGCAACUGAACUGGCCAACUGCAACUGCAAGUCUGCAACUGCAACAGUCUUAAGUCUUAAGUCUUAACAGUCUUAACACUUAAAGUCUUAAACAGUUAAACAUAGUGCAACAAAAACAGAGAGAGCAAUGUUUGCACUCUACUUUGCGAACUUCUCCGUUAUCUUCUUUCACCACAAAGUAUUCCCAAAUAUCGGAGCGUUGAGCAGUAGCACGGGGCAUGAUUGCACUUGAACC